UGCCAAGUUUAUGGCCUUAAGUAAGUGGGAACACUAGCAAAUUUGUUCUAGUGGAAACAGACAGUCCCAGGAGUUGGAGCUAGGACUACAUUUGACCCCAAAGUGUGAUAAGUACAAUCUAUAGGGAAACCUAAAUAUGAAGCUAAAAUUGUAUUCUGUAGGAAUAAUGUUGGCUAAGUCUGUAAUCAAAGGAGAAAUAUUAAUGAAAUAAAAAACUGAAAAGAAAUUAAUUAUGAGGUAGAAAAUAACAGAAAUGAAAGCCUUGAUAAUAAAGUCCAAAAAUUAGUAGUAGAAAGACACGAGAGAAUUAGUCUAUUCAUUAAAACCAUAAAUAUCUUACUUAAAGCAUGAAGUUUUAAUUCUGGAAUCCAAAUGUCUUCAAGAAAAUGGAUGUUCAGGGCUCGGGACAUAGCUCAGGCUAAGCGCUCGAGUUCAAGCUCCAGUCCCUUGUGAAAAGCUAGGUUGUACUCACACACUUGUCAGCCGGGCACCAGGUGUGCUCACACAUUUGUCAGCCGGGCACCAGGUGUGUUCACACACUUGUCAGCCAGGCACCAGGUGUGCUCACACACUUGUCAGCCAGGCACCAGGUGUGCCCACACACUUGUCAGCCGGGCACCAGGGGUGUUCACACACUUGUCAUCCGGGCACCAGGUGUGUUCACACACUUGUCAGCCGGGCACCAGGUGUGCCCACACACUUGUCAGCCGGGCACCAGGUGUGCCCACACACUUGUCAUCCGGGCACCAGGUGUGCCCACACACUUGUCAGCCGGGCACCAGGUGUGCUCACACACUUGUCAGCCCAGCACGAGGGAGAGGGAGGCAACCUAGCCUACUAGGUGAGCUCUUUGCCAGUAGAGACCCUGCCUCAGAAAACAUGCUGUUAGCACCUGAGGAAUGACAUCCCAGCGUGACCUCUGACCUCCACACACAUGCGCAUCCAUGAGAGAGGAGGGAGGGAGGAGAGAGCGAGCACAGAAAAUGG